rnacentral:rRNA from 1 species
UAACGCGAAGAACCUUACCUGGUCUUGACAUCCACAGAACUUUCCAGAGAUGGAUUGGUGCCUUCGGGAACUGUGAGACAGGUGCUGCAUGGCUGUCGUCAGCUCGUGUCGUGAAAUGUUGGGUUAAGUCCCGCAACGAGCGCAACCCUUAUCCUUUGUUGCCAGCGAUUAGGUCGGGAACUCAAAGGAGACUGCCAGUGAUAAACUGGAGGAAGGUGGGGAUGACGUCAAGUCAUCAUGGCCCUUACGACCAGGGCUACACACGUGCUACAAUGGCGCAUACAAAGAGAAGCGACCUCGCGAGAGCAAGCGGGCCUCAUAAAGUGCGUCGUAGUCCGGAUUGGAGUCUGCAACUCGACUCCAUGAAGUCGGAAUCGCUAGUAAUCGUAGAUCAGAAUGCCACGGUGAAUA